CUAAUGACAGUUCCCCUCAGAUCCAGUUUGCUUGUCAUUUCUGCUGAAAUGCCGAUGUAUUUGGAGAGAACAUUUGCAAAUGGGGAAAAAAUGCCAGUUUCUUGUAUGAAGCUGUGGAGCUCUUCCAGAACCCCCUGGCUGAUUCGGCUGGAGGAGAUGAACCCUUGGCAGGAUUUCCAUCACUGGGGAGUUCUUAAUGAUACACAGGGUGAAAUCCUGGUCCCUGUAAAGCUGAUGGAAGUUUUGCUAUUAAUUUCUGUGAGGCCAGGAUUUCACCCUAGAAAGGGAGUCAAAAGUACAUGCAUGCUUUCAGAGACACAGCGGCUGAUUAAAUACAUCUGGUGCACUGCUCUUUUAUCAAUCAUUGAUAAAAUAGAGCCUCUUAAAUAUAAACUUUGGGUAAGCUUAACUGCAAAAUUCAAACAUCCUUUUGCAAGUCUAAAAAGCAAAAUUUGUCUGCUUUUUGUCUGAAAAGAACAGAAAUCAUGGUAAAAAAUAACACACACCCAUCCUCCUCUGCUCCAAACUCCUGUAGUAUUUGAUGUUCUGCUGAAAUGUGUAAUUAAAGCACAGAAAUGCCAGUUAAAAUAUUUCUAGACGAUACAAAAAACUUUAUCCUGUAAGGAUGUCGUCCAAAACUAUGUUCCUCCUCAUUUAAUUCCUGAGCAGCUAAACACCAGCUAGGAGUUCAUCCGGAUUUCAGCAUGGACUGUGCUUUCCCCAGACCUCCGGGCACUGCCACUUCGGACAUCCCAGCGGGGCUGUGGACAGGGAGGGAGCCCUGGCAUCAGGGUGCGUUGCUAUGGAUGGGGCCGGACACCCGGCGUGGUGAUGCGCAGGAGGGCAGAGAGGGCUGGAAAAUACUCUCCCGGGCCCCGUGUGUACCCUGGCACGGGCAGGGUGCGAUGCAGAGCCUUGCCACGGCGGCGAUGCAGGGGGCACACGCGUGUCCUCCCACCGGGCGCAGCUCUGCGACGGGCAUGAGAACCGUGCGGCGGCCAGCACCGCCGGCCCGGACGAGCCACACCGCGGAGGGCAGGGCAAGCGAGGAGGCUGUCCCGGCCAGCCCGGCCUCUGAAGGACAGCCUUCCUCCCGGCCGCCCUCCCAAACCGGAGCGGGACCUUCCCCGGAAACUUCCAUGCUAGAAUAUUGUCACCUCCAGUUCAUCAUUCAGCAACAUCUGACACUUCAAAGCCUGGAGCGGCUCUUUCUGCUGCAUGACUCUGCCUUGAAUUGA
rnacentral:lncRNA from 1 species